rnacentral:rRNA from 1 species
AUGAGGUCGGGCCCUGGCCAGUCCGGUCUGGUCUCCGUCGACCCGGACUGCCUCACGCUCGCGGUUCCAGAAGCCGAGUUUGCUGAUGCGGUGCCUGGGGGCAUCACCCGCGCCGCGGUCGCCGUUCGCCACAGGCCCACAUCUAUUUCGCAUCUUGGCCCACAACCAGGCCCAGAAUUUGUCCUCUGCCUCAUGGUAAACACGGUGCAGAAUUGUAAACUAACCAAGCAGCCUGUCUCAUUUUUCUUUCCUAUCUUGUUCUCCAGUUGUUUUAGUUCCAGUGGAGCAAUGGCUCGAGGACCGAUUCAGAUCUGGAAUGAGUGGGCAAUCCAAAUCCUCGUCGGACUGAGCUUCACACUACAGAUUUUCCUCUUUCUCUUUGCUAGGACCCGUCGGCGUGGACCCUCAGCCAUGCUGAAGAUCCUCCUCUGGCUCGCGUACCUCAUGGCCGACUCCACCGCUGUCUACACUCUCGGCCAUCUUUCCAUCAACCCCUCACCACACGAGGAGAAGCUCGCAGUAUUUUGGGCGCCCUUUCUCCUGGUGCAUCUUGGUAGCCAGGACACCAUCACCGCUUACGCCCUUGAGGACAACAAGCUCUGGCCACGCCACCUGUUAAAUCUCGGCGUCCAAGCCUUUGGGGUUGCUUAUGUCCUCUAUAAGCACAUCGCUGAGAUCCCAACCUCAUUGGGGUUAGCUACCUGUUUGAUGUUCGUCAUUGGUUUCAUCAAGUAUGGGGAGAGGAUAUGGGCUCUCAAGUGUGCCACCCUGGACAGCAUCCUGAGCUCUAUCAGGGAAUUUCAGUUUCUCCCUACUUACUACGUUGCGCUUCCGUCCCUCGGAGCGAGGGCAGAAGAGCGAGAUGAAGAAGAGCUCCUCCUUAAUUUUGAAUUGAACUGGAACUGGAAUUUGAAAGCUACGCUCAAGGUGGUGGAGAUGGAGCUCUCCCUCAUGUACGACAUCCUCUACACCAAGGCUGUGGUGAUCCACAACUGGUAUGGUUACUGCAUCCGUGUAUUCUCGCCGCUCGCGACUAUUGUCGUGUUCAUACUGUUCCAGUUAAGUGGUAAUAAAGAUGAUUACAGUAAAGUUGAUCUUACUAUCACCUACAUCUUGUUGGUUGGUGCCUUCCUUCUGGACUUGGCGUCAUUGUUGAGUGCUUUGGGGUCGACCUGGGCAUGUAAUUCCUUGUUAACUAGAGGCUGGAUUAGGCUGGGUCUUGUCAUACUGUCUCUCCGUCAACAUGUCAAGGCUGCUAGAGGCAAUAGAAGAUGGUCUGGCUCCAUUGGUCAGUUUAACUUGCUGCAUUUCUGCUCUCGUGACAAUACCAAGCUAAGCAUCAGAGUGGCCAAGAUGAUGAGGCUUGAGGAUUGGUGGAACAAAUGGCAUUAUGUGGAGACCGUAGUGAUUUCAGAAGAUGCCAAGGAGUUGGUGUUCCGAUAUGUGUGGCAAGCACUGAAGAAGAUUCAUGACCCCAGAGCAAAGGAUGAGACUCAGUCCCGACCUUACAUGGAGAGCCCCAUGGCAAUGACGACAACCAAGAUCUACUGUAUGUCCUUUGGUCCUGAACCAUACGAAGAUACUGCCCGGAGGCGUAUGAAAUUAGCCGAAGCUCUGGGCUUUGGUGCUGAACUCCAAGAGGUGACCCUGACCUGGCACGUCUUCACGGAUGUUUUUCUCUUGUUCAGCAGAGGUCCUCCCAAGGACGUGGAUGCAGCAUCAUCCACAUAUGUGAAGGCGAUCAAGGCGAUGUCAGAUUACAUGGUUUUCCUCAUCGCUAUACGCUCUGACACGAUACCUGGUCUCGAGCUACACAACCUAUACAAAGCAACUCGCAAGGCUUUGGAGGUAGAAUUGCGUUUUUCUUGUGAGCAAACAUGUAGAGGAGCAGCUUGCCAGCAUCCUGCAAAACAGGAUACAUGUUUCACUUGGAAGGGCGAUCAUUAUUCUCUCGCACGGAUUUUUUAUGCCAAGCUACUGCUAGAGCUGGUAGAUACAGGAAAUUCUGACAAGUUAGGUGUCAUAUCUACUUAUGAAGAUACUGAUCAUGCUGCCGUUGAUAAACUGAAGAGACUGAUACCAGACCUGGAACCCUCAUGCAGAGGUGGUGUGUUCGAUAUGCCCAAAGCGUUGUCACUCAUCUUGGAUGCAUGGGUGCGUCUGCUCAUCUUCUUGUCAGCCCGAUGUAGCAGGGACGUCCAUGCCAGACAGAUCAGCUGUGGCGGCGAGAUCAGGACCAUCGUCUGGCUCAUGGAAGAACAUGCCAGCAUGCUCUUCAAGCGACCUGAAACUGACCUCCAGGAACCUGCUGCCUAGAUUUGUCCUAUGCCUGAUGCUGUUGCACGGUGUAGAGCUGUAGACUCUCCAUCCUCUCUUCAUUCCGCAGAAUUUAUCAUAUGCCUGAUGCUGUCGAGUGAACCAUCUCUUUUCUGGAGGGAAUGGGCGACCCAAAUCCUCGUUCUACUUAGCUUCGCUCUGCAGAUUUUCCUCUUCCUCUUUGCUAGGACCCGUCGGCGUGGACCCUCUGCCGUGCUGAAGAUCCUCCUCUGGUUGGCGUACCUCAUGGCUGAUUCAACCGCUGUCUACACCCUGGGACAUCUUUCCAUCAAUGGCUCAUUGCGCGAGCAUGAGCUGGUGGUGUUUUGGGCGCCCUUCCUGCUCGUGCAUCUAGGUAGCCAGGAUACCAUCACUGCCUACGCCCUCGAGGACAACAAGCUGUGGCCACGCCACCUGCUAAAUCUUGGCGUCCAAGCCUUUGGGGUUGCUUAUGUUCUCUAUAAGCAUAUCGCCGAGAUCCCAACCUUGCUGGGAUUGGCUACUGGCUUGAUGUUCGGCAUUGGUCUCAUCAAGUAUGGGGAGAGGAUAUGGGCCCUCAAGUGUGCCACCCUGGAUAGCAUUCGGAGCUCUAUCAGAGAACCUCACACUCUCGGUACUUACUACCGUUACCUUGAACCAAAGGGAAUAGGCUGCGAUGAAGAAGAGCUCCUGCUUUAUGCUCAAGACAUGCUCCCCCUUUGCAAGGGUGCUAUGGUUGAUUCUUCUGUGGCUUUGUUUAUGUACGAAUCUUCAACUAGUUUGGGCUUCUCCAAAUGUUAUGUAGAGAACUGGAACUGGAAAGCUACCUACAAGGUGGUGGAGAUGGAGAUAUCCCUGAUGUAUGACAUCAUCUACACCAAGGCGGCGGUGAUCCACACUUGGUACGGCUACCUGUUCCGUCUGGUUUCACCCCUGGCCACUGUCUUUGCGUUCGUACUGUUUCAAUUAAGUGUCAAUGAAAAUGGUUACAGCAGAGUUGAUGUUGUUAUCACUUACUCCCUCCGUUCCAAAAUAGAUGACUCAACUUUAUACUAACAUUAGUGUAAAGUUGAGUCAUCUAUUUUGGAACGGAGGGAGUACAUCUUAUUGGUUGGUGCCCUCCUCCUGGACAUGGCGUCAUUGUUCAGUACUUUGUGGUCAACUAGGACACUUUAUCACCUAUUGAUUAGAGGGUGGUGGAAGCUCAGCUAUGUCACCGUUUUCCUCCGCCAACUUGUCAAGGCUGCUCAACGCAACAGGGGGUGGUCAGGCUCUGUUGGGCAGUUUAACUUGCUGCAGUUCUGCUCGCGUGACACGACCAAGCUAAGCAGCAGAGUGGCCAAGAUGUUGGGGCUCGAGGAUUGGUGGAACAAAUGGCGCUAUUGUGAGACCCUGGUGAUUUCCGAGGAUGUCAAGGAGUUGGUGUUCAAACUUGUAUGGCAAAUACUAAAGGUGAUCCAGGAUCCAUUGACAAGAUAUGAGUCUCAGUCCUCACCCCACAAGAAGGGCGUGGAGGAGGCCAUAGCAGAGAUGCCAUACGAACGCCAGGGUCUAGGCUUUGGUCCUGAGUCAUAUGAAGAUACUGCCCGGAGGCAUAUGGAAUUAGCCGAAGGUCUGGGCUUCGGAGCUGAACUCCAAGAGGUGAUCCUUACCUGGCACGUCUUUACGGAUUUUUUCCUCUUGUUCGUCCGCACCCCCGAGGACAAGGAUGCACCAGCAUCUACAUAUCUGAAGGCGAUCAAUGCGCUGGCAAAUUACAUGGUUUUCCUCAUCGCUGUACGGCCCGACACGAUAUCUGGUCUGGAGCUACGCAGCAUGUACGAAGCAACUCGUGACGCUUUGGAUGAAUUGUGGAUUGUGGCGUCUGGCAUGCAUGAAUAUCCUUCAGAGCCCAGAUUUACAACAGAGCAGGUGAUUCCCUACAUCCUGCAAAGCGGUGGGGGCAAGAAUAUGUCCGGCAAGUCAAGCAUUAUUCUUCCGCGUACGGAAUUCUACGCCCGCCUGCUGCUAGAACUGGUAGACAUAAGCAAGCCUGACAAGUCUGACAUCAUAUCCUGUUAUGAACGUCAUGAUGGUGCUGCCAUGGAGAAACUGAAGCUUCUGAUGCCAGACCUGGAAUACUGGUGCAGAAAUAUUGGUGUGUUCGAUAUGCCCAGAGCGUUGGCGCUCAUCUUGGAUACGUGGGUGCGUCUGCUCAUCUUCGUGUCUGUCCGAUGCAGCAGAGACGCCCAUGCCAAACAGAUCAGCUGUGGCGGCGAGCUCACGACCGUCGUUUGGCUCAUGGAAGAACAUGCUGCCAUCUUUCGGGAACCACCUGCAGAAGAUUAG